UGAGGAAUAUUGGUCAAUGGGCGAGAGCCUGAACCAGCCAAGCCGCGUGAGGGAAGACGGUGCUAUGCAUUGUAAACCUCUUUUGUCGGGGAACAAAGAGCUCCAUGCGUGGGGCGUUGAGUGUACCCGAAGAAAAAGCAUCGGCUACCUCCGUGCCAGCAGCCGCGGUAAUACGGAGGAUGCGAGCGUUAUCAGGAUUUAUUGGGUUUAAAGGGUGCGUAGGCGGUGCAUUAAGUCAGCGGUAAAAGCCCGGGGCUCAACCCCGGCGAGCCGUUGAAACUGGUGUGCUUGAGAGGCCGAGAGGUAUGCGGAAUGCGCGGUGUAGCGGUGAAAUGCAUAGAUAUCGCGCAGAACUCCGAUUGCGAAGGCAGCAUACCGGCGGUCAUCUGACGCUGAGGCACGAAAGCGUGGGGAUCAAACAGG
rnacentral:rRNA from 1 species